rnacentral:rRNA from 1 species
UACAGAGGGUGCGAGCGUUGUCCGGAAUCACUGGGCGUAAAGGGCGCGUAGGCGGCCUGAUAAGUAGGGGGUGAAAUCCUGUGGCUUAACUGCAGGGCUGCCUCCUAGACUGUUAGGCUCGAGCACGGUAGAGGCAGAUGGAAUUCCCGGUGUAGCGGUGGAAUGCGUAGAGAUCGGGAAGAACAUCGGUGGCGAAGGCGGCCUGCUGGGCUGUUGCUGACGCUGAGGCGCGACAGCGUGGGGAGCAAACAGG